GACGAACGCUGGCGGCGUGCCUAAUACAUGCAGGUAGAACGCUGAAGGAGGAGCUUGCUUCUCUGGAUGAGUUGCGAACGGGUGAGUAACGCGUAGGUAACCUGCCUGGUAGCGGGGGAUAACUAUUGGAAACGAUAGCUAAUACCGCAUAAUAGUAGAUGUUGCAUGACAUUUACUUAAAAGGUGCAAUUGCAUCACUACCAGAUGGACCUGCGUUGUAUUAGCUAGUUGGUGGGGUAACGGCUCACCAAGGCGACGAUACAUAGCCGACCUGAGAGGGUGAUCGGCCACACUGGGACUGAGACACGGCCCAGACUCCUACGGGAGGCAGCAGUAGGGAAUCUUCGGCAAUAGACGAAAGUCUGACCGAGCAACGCCGCGUGAGUGAAGAAGGUUUUCGGAUCGUAAAGCUCUGUUGUAAGAGAAGAACGAGUGUGAGAGUGGAAAGUUCACACUGUGACGGUAUCUUACCAGAAAGGGACGGCUAACUACGUG
rnacentral:rRNA from 1 species